GGCCUGCGAGCUCAGUCGGUUAGAGCGUCGUGCUAAUAACGCGAAGGUCGUAGGUUCGAUCCCUGCGCAGGCCA
rnacentral:tRNA from 2 species